GAGAAAGUGUCCGAUUCCUAGGAGAGGAGCUGCCUAGAGGAGAUGGCUUCGCGGUUGUGGUCAACGGCUGGCUCUUGGGCAAGGUCGCGACCCGUCGAGAACCAGAAGGCGCCCUUAGCAACAGUUUUAUCCUCACGAAAUAUGACCGUCACUCGGACUGGCGCCAUCUUGCCUAAGCCCGUCAAAAUGCCAUUUGGACUAGUCCGUGUGUUUGCCAUUGUAAUUCCCUUUCUCUAUGUUGGGACACAAAUCAGCAAAAGUUUUGCAGCCUUGCUUGAAGAACAUGAUAUCUUUGUACCAGAGGAUGACGAUGAUGAUGACUAACAGCAUGAAUGGUCCCUGUUCUUCUGAUGCCUUCCUUUCUUUUUCCUGUUAUCUUCUACAUCCAGUUCUGCAGUAAAGCUAAAGUCUAUAGGCGUAAGAGGAACAAAGCCAUAAUAAAAUAUUCUGAUAUUAAUGUUUAAUCACCCUUCCUCUCAGAUGGCUAAUGAACAUUUUGGGAACAGCUGGACUUCCCAUUGUACCACGGAUUGUUCUGUGCAUGUAUAAACAAGAAUGUUUAAAUGCUAUAUCUAUUUAAGAAUACAUAUGUUUUGAUUCAACAGUUGUUGUAUGCUUAGCAUUUACCUUAUUUCUGAAUACACUGGAUCCCUAAUUAAUACGAAGAAUUCUUCUGGAUAGUAAAUUAAGAAUUAGAGAUCAAAGUUCAUGUGUUUCUUUUAUAUACUAAGCUGCUGUCUUCAUCCUUUUGGGAAUGUAUGUUUUACUGAAUUGAGAUGUCCUGAAUGAAUAUGCUUUGGACUGUGCUAUCCAUCUUUGAUACUAUAUAAAAUAGAAUGUCAGCUUUCUUUCUGAAAGGAAUAAAAUUACAAACCUAUAGAAAAGUACAUAAAGCAACUUCUCAAUCUUGAUAUUUGAUUCAGUUGAAUCAGCUAUAUAAUAUAUAACAGCUGCCAGUGUAAAUACAUAUUUUUAUAGAACUUUGAGAAAGUUUUAAUUAUAAUUUUGGUGAAAGCAAACUGUUUAGACAUCUAUUGUAUAACUAUUAGAUUUUUCCUGUUACCUAGCUUUUUAUUUGUAUUACAUGCAGCUGAAAUACCUUAGACGGUUUAUAGGAUUAGGAUGUAUAAUGGAAGUAUUACAUGGGUUGCUAAAUUUCUAAAAACUGUAAUAAGUAACCUCCAUCUCUGCUGCUAACAUUUAAGCAGUGUGAGAUUUUUAUUCCAGAAUUCGGGAAUAUUGCUACAAUUUUACGGCAGUAAACACAUGAAAACUGUACUAUACCCCCUAAAAUAAACAUUUAAAAAUUCAUUAAACUCCUAAGAAUGUAA